GUCGUACUCCCUCCGUCCAGAAAUACUUGUCAUUAAAAUGAUUAAAAGGGGAUGCAUCUAGACGUUCUUUAGUUCUAGAUACAACCCUUUUUAUCCAUUUUGAAGACUAGUAUUUUCGGACGGAGGGAGUAGUAU
rfam:Triticum aestivum genome assembly, contig: Triticum_aestivum_CS42_TGACv1_scaffold_031417_1BL